GACGAACGCUGGCGGCGUGCCUAAUACAUGCAAGUCGAGCGGACUUUCAAGAAGCUUGCUUUUUGAAAGUUAGCGGCGGACGGGUGAGUAACACGUGGGCAACCUGCCUGUAAGACGGGGAUAACUCCGGGAAACCGGGGCUAAUACCGGAUAAUAUCUUUCUUCGCAUGAAGGAAGGUUGAAAGGCGGCGCAAGCUGCCGCUUGCAGAUGGGCGCGGGGCGGAUUAGCUAGUUGGUGAGGUAACGGCUCACCAAGGCGACGAUGCGUAGCCGACCUGAGAGGGUGAUCGGCCACACUGGGACUGAGACACGGCCCAGACUCCUACGGGAGGCAGCAGUAGGGAAUCUUCCGCAAUGGACGAAAGUCUGACGGAGCAACGCCGCGUGAGCGAAGAAGGUCUUCGGAUCGUAAAGCUCUGUUGUCAGGGAAGAACAAGUACCGUUCGAAUAGGGCGGUACCUUGACGGUACCUGACCAGAAAGCCACGGCUAGCUACGUGCCAGCCGCCGCAGUAA
rnacentral:rRNA from 1 species